UGAUGCAGCAAUGCCGCGUGAGUGAUGAAGGCCUUAGGGUUGUAAAGCUCUUUUAUAGGGAGGCGAAUGACAGUACCUGGAGAAUAAGCUCCGGCUAACUCCGCUGCCAGCAGCCGCGGUAAUACGGAGGGAGCUAGCGUUGUUGGAAUUACUGGGCGUAAAGCGCUCGUAGGUGGCUGCUCAAGUCAGGGGUGAAAGCCCGGGGCUCAACCCCGGAACUGCCUUCGAAACUAAACAGCUAGAAUCUUGGAGAGGUCAGUGGAAUUCCGAGUGUAGAGGUGAAAUUCGUAUAUAUUCGGAAGAACACCAUUGGCGAAGGCGACUGACUGGACCAGUAUUGACGCUGAUGUGCGGAAGCGUGAGGAGCCAACAGGAUUAAAUACCCUGGUAGUCCACGCCCAUAUACUAUGAAAACUAUCUCU
rnacentral:rRNA from 1 species